rnacentral:rRNA from 1 species
GACGAACGCUGGCGGCGUGCUUAACACAUGCAAGUCGAACGGAAAGGCCCUGCUUUGGUGGGGUGCUCGAGUGGCGAACGGGUGAGUAACACGUGAGUAACCUGCCCUUAACUUUGGGAUAACUUCAGGAAACUGGGGCUAAUACCGGAUAGGAGCUCCUGCUGCAUGGUGGGGGUUGGAAAGGUACGGCGGCUGGGGAUGGCCUCGCGGCUUAUUAGCUUGUUGGUGGGGUAGUGGCUUACCAAGGCGUUGACGGGUAGCCGGCCUGGGAGGGUGAAAGGCCACAGUGGGACUGAGACACGGCACAGACUCGUGCGGGAGGCAGCAGGGGGGAAGAUUGCACAAUGGGGGAAACCCUGAUGCAGCGGCGCGGCGGGGAGGAAGAAGGUCUUCGGAUUGUAAACUCCUGUUGGUGGGGAAGAUAAUGACGGUACCCAACAAGGAAGUGACGGCUAACUACGUG